rnacentral:rRNA from 1 species
CUUAAAUUGAAGAGUUUGAUCAUGGCUCAGAUUGAACGCUGGCGGCAGGCCUAACACAUGCAAGUCGAGCGGAAACGAGUUAUCUGAACCUUCGGGGAAGGAUAACGGCGUCGAGCGGCGGACGGGUGAGUAAUGCCUAGGAAAUUGCCCUGAUGUGGGGGAUAACCAUUGGAAACGAUGGCUAAUACCGCAUGAUGCCUACGGGCCA